GUGCCAGCAGCCGCGGUAAUACGUAGGUGGCAAGCGUUGUCCGGAAUUAUUGGGCGUAAAGCGCGCGCAGGCGGUCCUUUAAGUCUGAUGUGAAAGCCCACGGCUCAACCGUGGAGGGUCAUUGGAAACUGGGGGACUUGAGUGCAGAAGAGGAAAGCGGAAUUCCACGUGUAGCGGUGAAAUGCGUAGAGAUGUGGAGGAACACCAGUGGCGAAGCGGCUUUCUGGUCUGUAACUGACGCUGAGGCGCGAAAGCGUGGGGAGCAAACAGGAUUAGAUACCCUGGUAGGUCC
rnacentral:rRNA from 1 species